AUGGUGCACCUCCAAUUCGUUUUGGAUCGUACCCGUGCACGUUUGGCCGGUUGGAAGGGCAAGCUGAUGACCAUUGCAGGGCGUAGAGUGCUCGUCCGAUCGGUUCUAAGCUCUUUGCCCACCUAUGCACACACUGCCCUAAGAGUGCCGAGGAAGUUUUUCAAGGAUAUUGACAAAUCAAGGCGGCGUUUUCUAUGGGCGCAAGAUGAAGAACUGACAGGGGGCAAAUGC
rnacentral:rRNA from 1 species